rnacentral:rRNA from 1 species
CAGUAGCCGCGGGAAUACGAAGGGUGCAAGCGUUACUCGGAAUUACUGGGCGUAAAGCGUGCGUAGGCGGUGGUUUAAGUCCGUUGUGAAAGCCCUGGGCUCAACCUGGGAAUUGCAGUGGAUACUGGGUCACUAGAGUGUGGUAGAGGAUAGUGGAAUUUCCGGUGUGGCAGUGAAAUGCGUAGAGAUCGGAAGGAACAUCUGUGGCGAAGGCGACUAUCUGGGCCAACACUGACACUGAGGCACGAAAGCGUGGGGAGCAAACAGGAUUAGAUACCCCGGUAGUCCCUGUCUCUUAUAU